rnacentral:rRNA from 1 species
AUGAGAAGCUGCACAACCCGCACACUUAAACGCCUAGGUGAAGCAUCAAAAUUCAAUAUAACUAGUUCUGGACAUGGACAAGGGCUUCAUUUGAUCUUUUGUUGCUCUCAAGCCAUAUUUUCCCUGUGUGUCUCUUUGUGCAGUGGUUUUUACAGAGGAAUUAGUCCAGGUGCUACUGGUUCAUUUGCUACAGGUGCAACAUAUCUUGAAUCAACUAAGACAUGGAUGGAGCACGCUAAUCCUAAUCUAAGAGGUCAUUGGUCUCACUUUAUUGCUGCAGGAAUUGGCAUUGCAAUCAUUUUCCUCUGA